rnacentral:lncRNA from 1 species
UGAGAAUGGAAAUGGGGAAUGCGUCAAAGAGACAAAAACCCGACCAUAGAAGAACAGACAACAGCAGAAGGUCACCAACAGGUCUUCAAUGCAGCGUAAAAAAUUCCCGCACCCGGAGUCGUCCUUCAGCUGGCCCCUAAACAAUAUAAAUACUAGUUCAGUGAUAAUGAACGCCAUACUAAACUCCAAAUUGUACACAAG